UAUCUCCUGUCGCGUUCGACAGUGGAGUGGGUGUUCCUUGGACCUGUAAUUACCCCGGGGAUCGACUCGUGUACUGGUGUGCAUGUCCGCUUGCGGAAAGCCUGAAAUGCACGAUAGAUUCCCACUUGAACCAUUCGGUUCAAGGACGAUGCUUCGCAUCGGCGCAUACGGGAGAUAC
rnacentral:other from 1 species